rnacentral:rRNA from 1 species
UACGGGGGGGAGCAAGCGUUGUUCGGAUUUACUGGGCGUAAAGGGCGCGUAGGCGGUCGUGACAAGUCACUUGUGAAAUCUCCGGGCUUAACUCGGAACGGUCAAGUGAUACUGUCGGACUAGAGUACAGAAGGGGCAACUGGAAUUCUCGGUGUAGCGGUGAAAUGCGUAGAUAUUGGGAGGAACACCAGUGGCGAAGGCGGCUCACUGGACCGGAACUGACGCUGAGGCGCGAAAGCAUGGGGAGCGAACAGG